rnacentral:rRNA from 1 species
CCUACGGGAGGCAGCAGUGGGGAAUAUUGCACAAUGGGGGGAACCCUGAUGCAGCGACGCCGCGUGAGUGAAGAAGUAUUUCGGUAUGUAAAGCUCUAUCAGCCGGGAAGAAAAGGACGGUACCUGACUAAGAAGCCCCGGCUAACUACGUGCCAGCAGCCGCGGUAAUACGUAGGGGGCAAGCGUUAUCCGGAUUUACUGGGUGUAAAGGGGGCGUAGACGGUUAUGCAAGUCUGACGGGAAAGCGCAGGGGUCAAACCUGGGACCGCUGUGGAAACUGGAGAACUGGAGUGCAGGAGAGGUAGGCGGAAUUCGUGGUGUAGCGGUGAAAUGCAUAGAUAUUACGCGGAACUCCAGUGGCGAAGGCAGCUUACUGGCGUGUAACUGACGUUGAGGCACGAAGGCGUGGGGAGCAAACAGGAUUAGAUACCCGUGUAGUC